rnacentral:lncRNA from 1 species
UCAUCGACAACCAAAGAGAUUGACAGCCGGUUGUGCUAUGGACAAGUACACGAUUCGCAUCCUUGCACUAGCUCUACUGUCUCUACAUCUCGUAUGCUCUGCUACUGUUGCUCAAUGUAAGCACACCAAUCGGGUUCAAUUUUUUCACUCAUCGAAGUAUGUAUGUAGUACUAUAGCCAGUGAAGGUGGCCUUUUUUUUCUUUUUUUGUCGAAAUAAUCUGUUGCGCGUUUAUUUAUUCCGCUCUAAAAUAUAUAAUUGCAUAAUAAUUGUUCGUUUGUCAUUCCAUAGGUCGAACCAUGGCUGACACGGAUAGCGAGAAGAUCAAUUUACCAAACGGGCUAUGCCAUAAGUUACCUUCGUAUCGAUGCGUCAAAGAGUGCUUCUGUUGUUUGGUAGAUGAGUGGUGCUACUCCACAAUGGAUGAGUGCGCGAUAAAGUGUAAAUGAUCCUCUUCUUCAGAAGACAUACUGGUGCCGAUGACAUCCCCUCCUUUACCUGCUCCUUAAUUUCGCAGCCUAGUCAAAUUGGGUUACAUGCGUAUUUACAUGUCCCGAGAAACAAAUGAUGCCUGAUAUAUAUUUGAUUUGCAAUAAGAUCUAGUAAUACUCUAGCAAUUGUCGCUGAGUAUUUGGUUUGGCAAAAGAAUGAAAUUCCAAUAGAAUCUCUUUGUAAUUUGACAAGAAAAGUGCCAAAAGUAUGAAUUUGUACCAAGUGUAGUUUGCCCCACUAACAAUAGUGUUUAG